rnacentral:rRNA from 1 species
GUAGGGAGCAAACGUUGUCCGGAUUUAUUGGGCGUAAAGGGCUCGUAGGCGGUUCAACAAGUCGGUCGUGAAAACCCGGGGCUCAACCCCGGGACGCCGGUCGAAACUGUUGUGACUAGAGUUCGGUAGAGGUGAGUGGAAUUCUCGGUGUAGCGGUGGAAUGCGCAGAUAUCGAGAGGAACACCAUUAGCGAUGGCGGCUCACUGGGCCGAUACUGACGCUGAGGAGCGAAAGCGUGGGGAGCAAACAGGAUUAGAUACCCUGGUAGUCCACGCCGUAAACGAUGAACACUAGGUGUGGCGGACUGAUUCAUGUCUGCUGCGCCGUAGCUAACGCAUUAAGUGUUCCGCCUGGGAGUACGGCCGCAAGGCUA